CAUGAAUCACCCAGCGCCCUGGUGAUUCAUGUGUACAUUAAAGUUUGCAAAUAGCCAUGAUUUUUCUGCUUCUUUAGGUAAUGGAGAGUCUUAUAAUGACUUUAGGCUACAAGUAUAGUUUCAAUUUCUAAAUCAGGAUGCCCAUUCUAGAUGUUAAUCAGACCUCCAGUCUUUAUCCAAAGGUCUUCCUGGGAGAUCAAUAACAGAUAUCUUAGAAGAUCAUCUUGAUCCUGCCCUCCUCUUAAAAGCUGGGGUACACGAAGAAGACAGUGGAGUCUACAGGCCAUAUGAGUCAAUUCCUCUCCCCUACACCAGAAAGUUGAGUCAUGAAUGAUUUUCACUCUCACCAAAAAGUCCUUGUUCUUCCCCAUCCCCCCGCAUCCUAGUUCUAAAUGGAAGUAGAUGGCAAAACAAGAACAAGGAUGUUGAUGUUGCCAAAAAGGUGUGAAUGAAAGAGAUACUGCUGCCCUAGCUCUCCUUUGAGUAACUAUUUCUCUUUUUUGUACUCUUAAAAAAUGAUCAACUGAUUUUUUAAAUGACCUGAGAUUCUUUGAUUACUAAGCCUCUUGCCACUAAUGUUAGUCACUUCCUGUCUAUAUCAAGAUGGCAGAAACCGGCCGGGCGCGGUGGCCCAAGCCUGUAAUCCCUGCACUUUGGGAGGCUGAGGCAGGUGGAUCACCUGAGGUCAGGAGUUCAAGACCAGCCUGGCCAACACGGUGAAACCCCGUCUCUACAAAAAUACAAAAAUUAGCCUGGCAUGAUGGCAGGUGCCUGUAAUCCCAGCUACUGGGGAGGCUGAGGUGGAAGAAUCACUUGAACCUGGGAGGCGGAGGUUGCAAUGAGCUGAGAUUGCUCCAGCCUGGGUGACAGAGUGAGAUGUGAGACUCCGUCUCAAAAAAAAAAAAAAAAAAAAAAAGCAGAAAUCUCAGGGAAACAAAAUCAGAAGGGGAAAAGAGCCUGGGCACUGAAAUAGAGUGCAGUUAGCUAGGAAAGGUGGCCUUGGAAGAGAGUUCUGAGAAGUGAGAUGAGCCUGCAUCAGAAAGCUGGAAAUCAGAGCCACAAAGGCCCUUGUAGACCAAGACCCCAGAACUGAAUUAUAGGCACCUGGACAUAUCUCUCAGAGUUAAGCAAAGAUCCACUGAGAUAAGUUUGAUUCUUCUUGUCUAAUUUUAAGUUAGCAUUUCCUCAGAUUAGACAUAUUGAUGCCUUCAUGUCAGGAAUGCUUUCAGAUAGCCAUCCCAAGUAUCCAACAGGCUAAAGCACUUCUUAACAAGACUUUCAUGUUCUGAUUCCUUCCUACUUCCCCAUAUUCAUCUCUGUCACCUCCUCCCUAAAAUACACCUACACAGAUACACAUAAACACACAUAAUUCUCCAACCACUCCCAAUUAUUUGUAGCUCCAUAAACACGCUACAGUCUUUCAUUUCUUUGUGUCUUUGCUUCCUCAGCCUACUUGCCAUACCCUCAAUCUUUCUCACAUCUCCAUGUGGUAGUUCUUGCUCUUCCUUAAAAAUUCAACUUUCUUCUCUGAAUUCCUAUCAUGUUUCAUAGAGCACUUAUCACAUUGCAGUGUAAUUUAUGUGUGCACCUGCCUGCCUGCCUGCCUCUCUGUAUAAUUUCAGUGGCUUUGUAAUAAUAAUAUGGUGAAGAACAAUAUUAAGAAGAAUAGGAUGAAGGCUGUUGAUAUUAUUCUGGUUAAUCACUCAGAAAGAAAUGGAAAAUCGGGUUGUGACGCAACAUCUAUCAAGCAGAAGUAAAGGAUGAGAGGGUACAGUUGUUACAGCUCUAAGCCUUAACAGUGAAACUUAACUGAAGAAGGAUAUGGACCUGAUGAGAACGAGGCCUCCUGAGGACAAAUCACACUAGCUCUGCAGAGGAUUGAUGGCUCCAGUAGGCAGAUGGGAAAACCCAUCAAAAUGGGACUUUCCAGGAACAUAACCAUGAAAUUGCAAUUGAAAUGGCUUCUCACUUUUCUUCUUUUAACUAAGUGAGAGUAAAGUCACCAUGCAGGAUGGCAUACUGAUCUGUGCAUGUGUGUAUCUUGGUGUAUUCAUGUUGGAAAGGCUCUUAAGAAAAAAGCUGCUAAGAAUGAGAACUCAAUUUUGAGGAUUUGUCUUAAAGUUUCUUCAAAAAGAUUUCUCAAUGCAAAUGGUACACUUAUUUAAUAUACGGCUAAGGUUAGCAUAGUCUGCCUGCUGCUACCACAGCCCAUCAGUCUGUCUAGCUGCACUGGGGCAGGGGGUGCACCUGGGUUAAGUCUAACAGAACUCUGACCCUUUUUUUUUUUUUUUUUUGAGAUGGAGUUUCACUCUUGUUGCCCAGGCUGGAGUGCAAUGGCACGAUCUCGGCUUACUGCAACCUCCGCCUUCCAGGUUCA
rnacentral:lncRNA from 1 species